AAUUCUCCAAGCUUCAAAGCAAAGCCCUACUUGUGUCUCUCCCUUUGCCACCUACCCAUGUUAACAGUAGGUAAAGCUUCACACAGCAGCGUUUUACGACAAACAAAUUAUGUGGUGAUGCAAACCAGCAAUAAUUCGCCAGGCGACGCCACCAUUUGAUGAUUAUGAGAAUAGCUCGUCGAUAUGGCUGCCUUUAUCCACACGAUAACCUAAU
rnacentral:lncRNA from 1 species